CAGUAGCCGCGGUAAUACGAAGGGGACUAGCGUUGCUCGGAAUCACUGGGCGUAAAGGGUGCGUAGGCGGGUCUUUAAGUCAGGGGUGAAAUCCUGGAGCCCAACUCCAGAACUGCCUUUGAUACUGAAGAUCUUGAGUUCGGGAGAGGUGAGUGGAACUGCGAGUGUAGAGGUGAAAUUCGUAGAUAUUCGCAAGAACACCGGUGGCGAAGGCGGCUCACUGGCCCGAUACUGACGCUGAGGCACGAAAGCGUGGGGAGCAAACAGGAUUAGAUACCCCCGUAGUCCCUGUCUCUUAUAC
rnacentral:rRNA from 1 species